rnacentral:rRNA from 1 species
GUCGUAACAAGGUUUCCGUAGGUGAACCUGCGGAAGGAUCAUUACCGAAUUGUCAACAAGAGUUGUUGCUGGUCCCUGUAUGGGGGCAUGUGCACGCUCUGUUUACACAUCCACUCACACCUGUGCACCCUCUGUAGUUCUAUGGCUUGGGUGGGCUCUGUCCCCCUGCUGUGGUCCUGCGUCUUUACACACACACUACAACAAAGUCUCAUGGAAUGUAUGUCGCGUUUAACGCAAUGAAAUACAACUUUCAGCAACGGAUCUCUUGGCUCUCGCAUCGAUGAAGAACGCAGCGAAAUGCGAUAAGUAAUGUGAAUUGCAGAAUUCAGUGAAUCAUCGAAUCUUUGAACGCACCUUGCGCCCUUUGGCUAUUCCGAAGGGCAUGCCUGUUUGAGUAUCAUGAACACCUCAACUCUCAUGGCUUGCCAUGAUGAGCUUGGACUUUGGGGGUCUUGUUGGCCUGUGAGCCAGCUCCUCUUAAACAAAUUAGCUUGCCGGUGUUUGGUGGCAUCACAUGUGUGAUAACUAUCUACGCUUGUGGUUUCCCAUCAGAUAACCUUCAGCGAUGGAGGUUCACCAGGGCUUAUAAACGUCUCUCCUCAGUGAGGACAGAUUUUGACCGUUUGAUCUCAAAUCAGGUAGGACUACCCGCUGAACUUAAGCAUAUCAAUAAGCGGAGGAAAAGAAACUAACAAGGAUUCCCCUAGUAACUGCGAGUGAAGCGGGAAGAGCUCAAAUUUAAAAUCUGGCGUGCCUCCGG